GUAUUUUUCCAAAAUUUCGCUCUGUGCCCGCCAUAUCGCUCAAAGAAAAGUUCAGGGAUUUUUUUCUUUACCUGACUUUCAUCACUGUAAAUUAGGGGUAAAUGACAUGAGAAAUUAAGAAUAUUAGAAGUGUGGAGUGAUACGUGUAUUUAUCAGUAUGUUAGCUGCAGGAAGGGUGCUGUCCUUGACACGUUCCUUUACUCAGACAGGAUGACAGGUAGGGAAGGGGGUAGCCGAUGAUCUGCUCCAGUAUCUUCUGCACUGAAGCUUCUGCUGCUCUUCUUCAGUUUGAUCUGAGAGCCAGACCAUGAUGCAGUUGGACUGGCUGAACGGUUGCUAGCAGCUUCAGACGUGCUGAUGUGCCUUGUUGAUAACGUCCUGGAUGUUAGGAAACCAAGUUAGAUCAGCUGAGAUGGGGAUGCCAAGGAAAGGGAAGCUGUGAACCCUCCUCUGUGCCUACUAUAGUCCAAAAUGACUUUCAUGGUCUUUUAUUUGCCGAUCAGCCUUACACUAUACAGUUUCCGCACUUGUCUACAAAGUUCACCUCAGUGACCUUUAAUAAGUCUUUGUUAUUGGCAAGUUAAUUACUUAUAUCCAAGACAUGGAGAUGUGGGUCCAGUAUGAGCAGGAUUUGGGAAAUGGCAGUUGCCAAGAACUCACAUGAAGUUUCAAGGUUUUUCCCUUUAUUUGGAGGAAAAAAAGUUUUUGUCCUUUGUUUGUUGUGCAGAAUUGCAAACCUAGAAAGAAAUCAAGUUGAAAGAAUUUAUAUAAAUGUAUUUGCCCUUCUUUUGACCCUUCUACAUAAUGAAUAUUUGGUGGCUGUUGCUUGGCGACUGUGAGAUCUCUCCAUAGGAUUGACAUGGGCUGGGCCUCUCAAUGACCUUGAUAUGAUUGUUCUUCAGCCAUUCCUUGGUUGCCUUGGCUGUAGGUUCUAGGUCACUAACCUGUUGGAAGACCCAUCCAUGACUGAUUUGAAGGGUCCUGGCUUAAGGAGGGUAGGAAGUUCUCACUCAGGAUUUUCCAUUAAUGGCUCCAUCAACGUGGUGACGUAGCUCUGUGCAGAAAAAUAGCCACAAAGCAUAAUGCUUCCACCUCCAUGUUUGACAGUGGGGAAGCUGUUCUUGGGGUCAGAGGUAGCAAUUCUCUUCCUCCAAACCCAAUGGUUGAGUUGAUGCCAAAGAGCUCAGUUUUGAGCCAAACAUUCCAUUAUGCAGAAUAAACUGAUAAAGCAAACCCUAUUUUUCAGUGUGUGAUUUUCAUUUUUUCAUAAAUCUUAGGACAAUUUAGAUGAUAAAAGUAAUAAAUAUAUGAAAACAGUAUAAUACAGUAAAUAUGUAAAUAUUUGAUGUGAUGAACAAUGCUUAUCUGAUUUAGACCCAACAUGGAAUAUUUUAUGACAGACACACAUCAAGUUGUGUUAUUUAAUGCUCGUAAUUUAGACACAAAUGAUAGAAAUGUUUUAUAUGUCAAAGAGGCCAUGUGAAAAUUUUAGUGCAAAUACGCAUGCGUGCGCGCCGUGCACAUUAAGCCAUCCCACCCCCACGUAUCCGCGCGCCAGUCGGUGGGUGUUGGGCGUCAAUAAAGGUAAUCUGGUUGUCGCGCGUUCUGCAUCUCUGCACGAGCUAAAGAAGUCUCAAAGGUAAGAAAUGUAAACACAAGAGGCAGUAAUGAAAAUACUUUAUGGUCAUCUGAAUGUAUUUUCAUCUGACAGAUGAAUGCCGCUGUUGUUAUCACUGUGACGGACGAGCGGUGCUGAAAAAUACGGCCUCCAUCGAGAGACUGAACGUAACACGACUGCAGAGGCGCGGCGGCUGGCUGGAGGAGAGCAGUUGCAGGAUUCCAGAGGUGAGACGGCGUGAAACCAGAGGACUGCGACCAGAGCAAGAACAUGAGCGAGCCUGACUAUGCACCGUGGGAGGUAAAACGAACUGGCACCGACUGAAGAUCCAGGAGAUCCUUAAGAAGGCAGCGGUGAUGAGGGGGGGGUCAUGGCCUCUACGCUGGAUUCCAAAAAAGAGACAAAAAAAACCCCGACCUCAACCCCCACUCUUAGUCAGACAUGUUUAUUUUUUUAUUUACAAUAAUAAAUAAUAUACUAUGUACAUUUAUUUUGUUUUACUUUUUUAUACUUAGUUUCCUUAUUUCCUAUAAUAUUUAUUAGUAGUUGUUGUUUGUUGAUGUUAGUUCUUUUUAGCCCCUUUUAUGUUAAAAUAGACGUAAAUGAUCCAGAUGCUGAUAUUCUAAUAUAUAGACAGAUUUAUGAAUGAAUUAUUCUCAACA